AAUAACACUUGCACUGCGUGGGCUAUCAAAAUCGCUGCCGACUUUUCUUGGUCUAAUUUUAGCCGUACAGUCAACUAGUUAAGACUGGCGAACUUCUAUUUUCACGGCUCAAUUUUUUCUUUGUAAUAACAAAGGUUACUCUCUGAUAUUAUUUAUAAGAUCUUGUAUAACGAGGUGGUUAACUAGGUUUCAAUGCAGUUAUAAACUAGUCGGGCACAGUUGAAACUAACUGUUGUAAACAUUUGAUGCAAUUUAAAAUAAGAUUUUAACAUCAGCUGUGCUAUUAAUUUUAAAUUAAUUAAAUUUAAAUUAAAAUACCAAAUGGUUUUAAGUCUAGUCGAACUGCUCAAGCGGACUUAAGGGCUUAUUUAUGAACAUACGAAAAUACCUCGGAAUUUAAAUUAUUAAACGGCAAUUUUUGUUUGGUAAAGACGAAUUUAUAGUAAAAAUGUGAACCUCUAUACAAACUAGCUAUCCAAAAAAGAACCGUAAGUGGCGUUAAUUUAGAAAAAUAUUUAACACAUAAGUAUGGAGCUUUGGCCCAUAUAUUAUGUUGUGUGAAAUAGAGUCAGACCGUGAAAAGUCUGCAGCGAUUUUGAUAGCCCACGCAGUGCAAGUGUCAUUUUAAACGUCAAACUUCUAUGAAAUUAUGACGUAUAAAUAACACACUACGUGGGCUAUCAAAUCCGCUGCAGACUUUUCUUGGUGCGACUCUAUGACGUAUUAAUUGAUAUAGGUAGGUACAUAAUAUUAUAUUUGACCCUAAAAUAACGCGCUUUCCUCUACUAUAAUAAGUUACGUGGUCUGGAUGUAAGCAAUGUUGCUAUUAAUUCGUCUUUGGUUUUAUUCAUUUUAUUGGUAGAUAGGUAUAUUAAAACUUAAUGUUAUGUCAGGCACAUAUCACUUAUUAAGGUUUUUUUUGCAAUAAUCUCAAUGCAAGGUAGUUUGUAGUGACAGAUGACGAACAACUAAUUUUUAUAUGUAUUGCGUUUCCAAGAAAUAUUAAAAUUAAAAUCAAUUCUGUAAUCAUUUUAUUUAUUGACCUGUUCGUUAUAGGAUAAAUAAGUCUUUUCCAUUUUUUAAUAAUGAAACUUACAAUUUCCAUGAAUUAAUUCAUUAAGGCUAUUAAUGAUAAGGCGCACUGGUUCAGGAUAGUACUUUAUUUCAUGAAACCUGAGAGAAGACUGAAAAAAAAAUGGUGUCAAAAGGAACAUAAAAUUAUAAGAACAAAGGAAUUCAAAAUUACAAUAAAAAUAUAAAAAGUAAACGUAUAAAAAGGUGCGUCGUCCACAAAGGCAUUAUAAAUGUAUUCGUAUACCUAGUACAGCUUUAAGUGAUACUUUCUUGUUACCUAUUUCUUGGAAAGUGCAAUCUGUGUGUGCUUUUAAUUUAAUAAAAUAUCAGUCAGUAAUUUAUACAUGUCGUACACAAAUAUUCAACAUUCUGCAUGUUUAUUAGGCGUAUGUAUAAUGCACUGAAAAAUGUACCUUAUAAGCUAAGACAUUCGGUGCUAAUUCUACUGUAGUUUUAAUAAACAUUCCGCACUGAA